rnacentral:rRNA from 4 species
UACGUAUGGUGCAAGCGUUAUCCGGAUUUACUGGGUGUAAAGGGAGCGCAGGCGGAAGGCUAAGUCUGAUGUGAAAGCCCGGGGCUCAACCCCGGUACUGCAUUGGAAACUGGUCAUCUAGAGUGUCGGAGGGGUAAGUGGAAUUCCUAGUGUAGCGGUGAAAUGCGUAGAUAUUAGGAGGAACACCAGUGGCGAAGGCGGCUUACUGGACGAUAACUGACGCUGAGGCUCGAAAGCGUGGGGAGCAAACAGG